CGAAGGGUAGUUAAGGUCUGA
rnacentral:siRNA from 1 species